GGGAAUCUACCUGGAACUACGGAACAACUGAGGGAAACUUCAGCUAAUACCGUAUACGCCCUACGGGGGAAAGAUUUAUCGGUUUCAGAUGAGCCCGCGUAAGAUUAGCUAGUUGGUGGGGUAAUGGCCUACCAAGGCGACGAUCUUUAGCUGGUCUGAGAGGAUGAUCAGCCACACUGGGACUGAGACACGGCCCAGACUCCUACGGGAGGCAGCAGUGGGGAAUAUUGGACAAUGGGCGCAAGCCUGAUCCAGCCAUGCCGCGUGAGUGAUGAAGGCCUUAGGGUUGUAAAGCUCUUUCAGUGGGGAAGAUAAUGACGGUACCCACAGAAGAAGCCCCGGCUAACUUCGUGCCAGCAGCCGCGGUAAUACGAAGGGGGCUAGCGUUGUUCGGAUUUACUGGGCGUAAAGCGCACGUAGGCGGUUUGUUAAGUCAGGGGUGAAAUCCCACAGCUCAACUGUGGAACUGCCUUUGAUACUGGCAAGCUAGAGUCCGGAAGAGGUAAGUGGAACUCCUAGU
rnacentral:rRNA from 1 species